GAGGAGGAUCCAUCAUGACGAAGUCAUGAUUCGGAAUGGAUCCGACGAGUUGCCGCCGAACGGAUGUGAGGGGGCGUUUCCAU
rnacentral:sRNA from 1 species